rnacentral:piRNA from 1 species
UAUCGUAGGGCAUGGUACACGGUUCAUCGC